GCAGCCAAGGAAGAAAGAGUUCUCGGUCAUGAAAGAAAGGAGAAGCUGGAAACAGGAGCAACGUCUGACACUGCAGAGGGAUGAAGAAACCCCGUUCUAUAACCGUACAGGAAAACAAAAACAAAAAAAAUUAAGAAGAUGAGAAAACCUAUCAGGAUUAAAAAUUCCACUUAUUCAGGAAUAAUCAUCAAUGUAUUCAACGAAUCUCUCAUUGAAGCAUGUUGUGAGUCCUCCUUCUAGAAUGAAAAGAGAAACCCUUCCUGAAGAUCUUGGUCUGUGCUACCAUGCCAGAAGCUAUGGACUCUACAGUUUGGGAAUAGGUUUAUCUAUGGAAGUCAUCUCUCCACUCACUCUCUUCAAGACAUCCACUGGACAAAGUGCAAGCCUUGAGGUUGUCCUCAGGAAGUCUUGUGUGAAUUUCCCUUCAAAGGAAAGCAGCUGGGAGGCAACAGGGUACAAAAGAAAAAAAUCAGUUGAAUGCUGGAGAUCCAUUGGGAAGUGGCCCCUUGACACAAUGUAAAGGAAUCCAUUCAGCUCCUGCCUCCUGCACCUGCAAUAACUGUUCUUCCACUGAUGGGGCUGUUCAGUAACAGCCAGAGAGAGAACAUGGGCUGGGGAACACAACAGGACAAGAAAGGAGUGUGGCUCAGUAAAUGAGUAGUGCAUGCUGCUGGCUCUAGACAUAAGAUCAUCAGUGCCCUUUACAGGGAAAGGUCUCAAGUAUUUCUAGUGGUGGUAAUUUCUUUAAAUUUUCACCACUAUAAAUCUUUCUGGAAGAGGGAUCAGUACAAGCAAUCAGCCUGCACCUGCCUCUUCUCCUCUGCAAGGGAGCAGCAGGCCAACCUCCAGUCUGUUUCCCAGAUCAGGGUUCCCCAGUCUGGAAAAAUGGGCAGUGGGCUUUACUCCACUGAUCCACUUCCCUUCAAACUUGGAGAGGGGAGAACAGAAGCAUUCUUUCUUGUGAAACAGUCUCUCUGACAAGGGAGGUCUUUUGGGUAUCAGCCUGGAAGAUCUUUUUUUCCUCCAGGGGGGCAUUUCCCCUGGGACAAAUUGAAUGAACACUUGUAGUUUCUACUGCGAGAGCUGCUGCUCUCCCAGAAGAAAGAUAACACUUGUAUAUGGCCAGAGAGCCUGGAAGGGUGCUUGUUUUAGUAAAAUGGCCUAUGGAGGCAAGAUUUGUCCCCCUCUGCACAGCUAGGGGAAGAGCCACCCAUGGAGAGUCCUCUACACUUGCAAGCAGAAGAAAUAGCUGUGCCCUGAACUGAGAAAUUUUAUUAUAGUCCUUAUUUUUAAUUCAGACCCCCCCCCCCCCCACCCAUACCCUAUUCCCAUAAGAAUUCAGGGCUGAAAGAUCAGUGGUGGCUCUGCAUGAGACCAGCCUGCAUAAACUAUAUCCAUCUAUCUUCAGGAAAGCAUGCAAGACCGAACUGAAAUCCAUUGUGCUUCUCUCUGGAUACAGUCUACACGCAGCCUUGAGUCUUAUUUGUAGACAUUCACUGGUUAUUAAAUCAUUACAAUUUAUUUGAAAAGGCUGAGCUAUUUUCCACAGAGAUUCAGAAAAUUAUUUUUGGCUUCCUUGCAUUUUCCAAGUGAUGACAAGGAUAUGAACUUGAAGAAAUUUGAAUUGUUUGUAACUAUAUCAAGUGGUCACCAUGGAAAUUCUAAUAUUAUAAUUAACACUGAAAACCUAGUGCUGAUCUUGCAUGUAUGGGUUUGACACCCAUAUCGCUCCUCUGUGGUAUGAUUUCUGAUGUAUACAUGUUUGAGAUCAGAAGCAGACCCUGACAAUCUAACAGAAUGAUUAAAACUGUCCUUGAUCCAAAAACAGUGGAGUGAUUUAGACUAAUGCUUUUCUAGUGACCUUUGCAGUAGUUAAAUCAAGAUGAAUUGCCAUUGCCCAGUCCCCUUUCUUCUUAAUAGUGCAUACAUUAGAAAUGGGCAUGCCAGUAAAACAAUCAGCACUGUGUAAGAAUCAUCUGCUAUGUGCUCACAUGCUUUGUGUGAACACUAACGGGGUUCCUGGUGCAGAGCUGCUUUGGAAAUGUUGGGGUUGUAUGGGACUUCUUAUUAAUUUGACCAUUUAACUUAUGAGCUUUGCCAGAGCUUUGAGCCCUGUUAAAAGUUUCAUUUAUUUUCCAAUUAGAAAUCUAACUCUCUUCUACCUUCAACUACAGUGAAGGAUUGCAGUUGGAGCUAUGUAACAAAUUCAUCCUUCAGUUCACUGGCUGAACCCCAGAAAGAAAAAUAUAUCUAUAUUUUGGGUAGAUCUGAAUGAAUAAUUUUCCUUCUUAUUAGAAGAAAAAAACCCCAGGGGUGGGGGUAUUUUUACUCCUUUUUAAUUAUUAUGUUUAUCUCAAUUUCAAAACAUACUGAUUUGAAAUAAACUCAAAUGAGGUUUUGUUUAUAAAUCAUUGACACAAAUUGUUUUGAACU